AAGAUUAAACUUCCGGGGAUCACUUCUAUAGUUUGUAACUAGAGAAGUUUCUCUGUAGGUGUAAAGCACCGGAAACCACAAGGGCCAGGUGCCACAUUCUCUCCUGAGCUGUGAAGCCGGUUCUUGUUGCUACUUUACUGCAGCGCAUUUAACAUUGAUGCUCAUUCUUCUGUAAGAGGAGAGAGAGAGAGAGAGCUCAGUCUGGAUGGU
rnacentral:snoRNA from 1 species